rnacentral:lncRNA from 1 species
AUCAUAGUAUCUAUCAAUGAAUGCCAGUUCGUUUUCAUAUUUACUUGAUCACAGUUUUUUUCCCUCUGUACAUGAUUAUUUUGCUUCAGAAUAAAGAAUUUUCCUUCCUUUUUUUAUUGCACUGAAUAGCUCUUCCAGUACAAUGUUGAAUAGAAGUGGUGAAUUCUCUACAGAAUGGUGCAUAUAUUCAAGAAGGCUUUUCCACUCUGGUUGGCGAGAGCUUGAACAUUCCCUGGCCCAAGGUCUUCAGCACUGUGACCCAGUCUUGCUCAGAUUCUGACGUCUUUCUCUUUGGUGUGUGGGAAGGUCUGUGGUUGAGUCAAGGUCAGAGCUUCUUUGCCUUGUUUCUAGGCCAUUCGGAGAAACUACACCUUAAGAUGAAGACCUUAUUUGAAGACCAAACUUUGUGCGAGACUUUAUCAUGAAAGCCUUCGAGGACCUUGGGGAGGUCCCAAGAGAGCAAAACUACAUACCUAGUGGACAGUGGGUAGAAAGAAGGAGAGAGAAAGGAAUCUGCUUCCACGCUUCCAAUGGAGAGGUUCCACUAACUUCGGAUUCCCAGUGUAUAGACAUUCUCUUCUUGGGAGAAAAGACUCCUAGAGGCUAUGUAGGCCAAGCCGACUCCCUGUUCCACCUAAGAACUUACUGGAGACAGUCAUCGAGCCUUCUGAGUCCUCCUUUCUCCAAGUCCUUCAGCGGAACCUCAAUGGAUACCACAUGGUUUCUACAUUUGCAGCCACCCUCCUCAGAGCACUUUGUCAAUAUCCUUCCUGAACUGUGACUCCUGCUUUGACACAUUAUUCUAACUCUUUUCUUCUCUUGUUAUGCUAACUUCGUCUUAUAUUGAUAUCUAACUUUUCGUGGUUCUAUGCCUUGUCUGCCUUACUAAGUUCUGUCCUUUAUUUAUGGUGACGGCAUUUUGUACAGUGUAACUCCAAAGUAAGAAAGUCUUUAUUCCCCGGUCAAAUAAAGGUAUAUCCAAAUGAAUGAUGUGUUUCAGGAGUUAUGCACUUAUUCCAGUGAUGCCUUAAUCACCCACCUUACCCUUUAGAAAUUGUAUUCACCCUGGGAGAGAGGGAAGGAGAAACAUUUGGGACAAGAUGCAGAGGAGACUUCCAAGUUCAGGGUUGACUUCAUGUAUGCAGCCUGUAGCAUCACAUGGGGCCCCUUUCGCAGAAGGGCCCUGCACUAGGUUUAAGGCUUGGCUGUCAUGGUUUGAAAUUCUUGAUAAUGUUAUCUUCGAGCCUGUGUUUUGUAAGUAAAGUCUGAUGGCACAAUGGAAC